UGCACAACACCAAGAGUGAACCCUAAUGUCAACCACGGACUGCAGAGGAAGAAAUUUGGACACACCAAGAGGCACCAGAAGUGUAUGCACACGUAGGGAAGGUGAUACGAGGCAACAAGGAGGACAACAUGUACCAGCUAAGGGAGGAGGCUUCAGAAGAAACCCCCUCUGCCAACACCUUGACCUUGAACUUCCAGCAUCUACUGUGUAGUGGGAUAACUGAAGAUUCACGCAAGACUAAUGGAUUCCUUACCAAAGGGAUGGAGGCAUGAAGGGGACCUGAUGUGGCACAAUGACAACAGUAGCAGCUAUUUAUCAGAAAAAUAGAUUGGAUUGACUCGCUUGUGGCACUGCCCCCAUUGUAAUGCUAAGUACACGUUUGGCACCAUUUACCUCCCUCUGCUCUGCCUUCCCCUUAUUUGUGGGCACUUCUUCAUCAGAUGGUGGAUUUGCGUGACCCUAUAUAUGAGUCCGAUCACGUACACGGUCGCAAAACCUGCCCAACGCCGUCGUGAGCAUAACACCUGACAAGACAAAAGUCCCACUCUUCAGAGUAAUUAGUAAGAGAACAUACUCAGCCUGGUUGCUGCAGGCCUGACCCCAAAUCCUAACCUCAACCCGAAGGCCUGGAUUCUCCUGUCUCAAACCUGAGCACCAGAAAGGUAUCGAGUGUGACAUCUAAUCGCGCGACUCAUGUUACAGAAAGAGAAUUACAUCAAAAGAGUCCAUUCCUGGCCCCAGCUCAGUCCCUGUGUGACUGUGGUCAAUCACUCAAUGUCCCAGGUUCAGGCCACUGGUCAGACCAGUAGAGCCAGUAACUGCCCUGACCUCCUCAUACAGUCAUAGCGAGGAGCAAAUAAAUAACAUGUGGAAGAACUAUGAACGCAAAUCAGUUUCCAACACACAAAAAAAUAUCAAUAUUUAGAUGCUAAGGCAGUAGUUAAAAAGAUACGAGGCAUCAGAGCAAAAAAGAACAUAAAAUGGGGGACGCCUG